UCUUUCUGGAGAUUACUCUCAUUGGUGUUUUUUUUCUGUGAGCCUAUGAUAUGGAAUGGCUGUAUCACCUUGCUGGUGAUGUCCAUCCCAUCUGUGUCCCUCAGCUCCCACCAGAACAGGAGGUCAGCACGUGAAAGCCCACCUGCAGGAGAGAGGACUUUCUGGAAGGCAAGUUCAGCCUUGCUAUCUGCGCCUGGCAUGUAGAAUGAAGACUGGAUCGUUUGGAGCAAAGGCCUCCCUGCAGUCACUGACAGCAUUCCAUGAACCCCAUUUUUGUAAGAGGUAUCGUGGUGGUACCUUCACCUUGCUGUGAACCUCCCAGGGCUUGAGGACAGCUGGGGAGUGGCACUCAGAGAUGGAUGUGCAGCAGGAAGGGAUGAUGGGACCAGAGGCAGGAUGGGCAGUUGGAGCAGCUGUCUGGAUUUGAAACGUUCUGUAUCCAGGGUGAAAAUGGCUAACUUGUUUUCUAUUGCAAAGCCAGGUUUCACUCAAGGAAAGAUUCCUUAGGCUGGAGUGGCAUUGGACAAGUGGCAAAUCUUCUGACAGCAUGGUCAUUGGAGGAGAAAUGCUCUUGCACUCGGUCAUGCAAACCUGCUUUAGUCACAAAGGCGCAUCUUGGUUGCAAAGUUUCUAUUCUUCCUUUUCGCCCGAGGAAAAGAUUACUGGGAAAUGCAUUGGUUAAAGUUGACAAAAUGACAUUGUUUGCAUGCCUGCAGCUACACAUAUGCUUGUGCUUUGCUGCACUGGGGCAACAAGUCAUGUACACUGCUUUCCAAAACAUAGAUAAGAUAAUGCAGGCGCUUUAUAAAUUAAAACUUCAUAAACACAUAGAGCAUUUUUGGCUGGUACUACACUAACAUCUCAAUUGUUUUAGUUAUGUUUUGCAGAGUUUUGUUUUGCUUUGUUAGUAUAAUCUGUGCUCGGAGUAAACGAUGAAAAAACAGGCAAAUGGUUUGUAUUUAUAUUUUAUUAGAUUUUCUUGACACGUUGAAAGUCACUUGUCUGUUAUAAAAAGUAAGGUAACAGAAACCAUCCCAAAACAAUAAUGACUUUAUGGGUUUAUAAACAAUAGUAGCAUGUUUGCCAAGAUGGCUAGUAACUGUUUGGACCUGUCUUUUUAGCCUGACAUUUUUUCUAAGAAGAGAAAACACAAGAGACAAGUUUCCUCUCCUAGCACGUUGGCAGAAGUACAGAAACCCCAUUCUUAAUGUGAUGGGACUCAUAAAUGGACAACUAUUCAACUAAUAAAACUGUCAAAUGCAUUCAUUGUACAUGUGGUUAAAAGGUUAGACAUUUAAAGGGCAUCACCAUGCUAAAUGUACUGCUUUAUGUAAGGACUGACUUCUCAUUAAUUUAUUUACCUAAUCAAUGAAUUGUAGUGCUUAUGAUAGACUUGGGUUUUACUUGUUUUCACUAGCCUAUGUAUAAGAAAAUAAGAAAAAGCACUUAUGUUUUUUAUUAAGAAGGAAAAGAAAAACUUUAUUACCUUACAC
ensembl:lncRNA